UACGAAGGGGGCUAGCGUUGCUCGGAAUCACUGGGCGUAAAGCGCACGUAGGCGGCUUCUCAAGUCAGGGGUGAAAUCCUGGAGCUCAACUCCAGAACUGCCUUUGAUACUGAGGGGCUCGAGUCCGGGAGAGGUGAGUGGAACUGCGAGUGUAGAGGUGAAAUUCGUAGAUAUUCGCAAGAACACCAGUGGCGAAGGCGGCUCACUGGCCCGGUACUGACGCUGAGGUGCGAAAGCGUGGGGAGCGAUCCGG
rnacentral:rRNA from 1 species